UACGUAGGGGGGCAAGCGUUGUCCGGAAUCAUUGGGCGUAAAGAGCGUGUAGGCGGCUCGGUAAGUCCGCUGUGAAAGUCCAGGGCUCAACCCUGGAAUGCCGGUGGAAACUGUCGAGCUAGAGUCCGGAAGAGGCGAGUGGAAUUCCUGGUGUAGCGGUGAAAUGCGCAGAUAUCAGGAGGAACACCAAUGGCGAAGGCAGCUCGCUGGGACGGUACUGACGCUGAGACGCGAAAAGCGUGGGGGAGCGAACAGG
rnacentral:rRNA from 1 species